CCUACGGUGUGCAGCAGUGGGGAAUAUUGGACAAUGGGCGAAAGCCUGAUCCAGCCAUGCCGCGUGUGUGAAGAAGGCCUUCGGGUUGUAAAGCACUUUCAGUGGGGAAGAAAGCCUUGGGGCUAAUACCCUCGAGGAAGGACAUCACCCACAGAAGAAGCACCGGCUAACUCCGUGCCAGCAGCCGCGGUAAUACGGAGGGUGCGAGCGUUAAUCGGAAUUACUGGGCGUAAAGCGCGCGUAGGCGGUCUGAUAAGCCGGUUGUGAAAGCCCCGGGCUCAACCUGGGAACGGCAUCCGGAACUGUCAGGCUAGAGUGCAGGAGAGGAAGGUAGAAUUCCCGGUGUAGCGGUGAAAUGCGUAGAGAUCGGGAGGAAUACCAGUGGCGAAGGCGGCCUUCUGGACUGACACUGACGCUGAGGUGCGAAAGCGUGGGUAGCAAACAGGAUUAGAUACCCGGGUAGUC
rnacentral:rRNA from 1 species